rnacentral:tRNA from 1 species
GCAUUGGUGGCUCAGUUGUAGAAUUCUCGCCUUCUAUGCAGGAGGCCAGGGUUAAAUUCCCCGCCAAUGCA